rnacentral:rRNA from 1 species
GACGAACGCUGGCGGCGUGCCUAAUACAUGCAAGUAGAACGCUGAAGGAGGAGCUUGCUUCUCUGGAUGAGUUGCGAACGGGUGAGUAACGCGUAGGUAACCUGCCUGGUAGCGGGGGAUAACUCUUGGAAACGAUAGCUAAUACCGCAUAAGAGUAGAUGUUGCAUGACAUUUGCUUAAAAGGUGCAAUUGCAUCACUACCAGAUGGACCUGCGGUGUAUUAGCUAGUUGGUGAGGUAACGGCUCACCAAGGCAACGAUACAUAGCCGACCUGGGAGGGGGAUCGGCCACACUGGGACUGAGACACGGCCCAGACUCCUACGGGAGGCAGCAGUAGGGAAUCUUCGGCAAUGGACGGAAGGCUGACCGAGCAACGCCGCGUGAGGGAAGAAGGUUGUCGGAUCGGAAAGCUCUGUUGUAAGAGAAGAACGAGUGUGAGAGGGGAAAGUGCACACUGUGACGGUAUCUUACCAGAAAGGGACGGCUAACUACGUG